rnacentral:tRNA from 1 species
GGGCUCGUAGUCCAGUGGCUAAGACGUCGCUUUGACGUAGCGAAGAUCAGGAGUUCGAAUCUCCUCGGGCCCA